GACGAACGCUGGCGGCGUGCCUAAUACAUGCAAGUCGAACGCUUCUUUUUCCACCGGAGCUUGCUCCACCGGAAAAAGAGGAGUGGCGAACGGGUGAGUAACACGUGGGUAACCUGCCCAUCAGAAGGGGAUAACACUUGGAAACAGGUGCUAAUACCGUAUAACAAUCAAAACCGCAUGGUUUUGAUUUGAAAGGCGCUUUCGGGUGUCGCUGAUGGAUGGGCCCGCGGUGCAUUAGCUAGUUGGUGAGGUAACGGCUCACCAAGGCCACGAUGCAUAGCCGACCUGAGAGGGUGAUCGGCCACAUUGGGACUGAGACACGGCCCAAACUCCUACGGGAGGCAGCAGUAGGGAAUCUUCGGCAAUGGACGAAAGUCUGACCGAGCAACGCCGCGUGAGUGAAGAAGGUUUUCGGAUCGUAAAACUCUGUUGUUAGAGAAGAACAAGGAUGAGAGUAACUGUUCAUCCCUUGACGGUAUCUAACCAGAAAGCCACGGCUAACUACGUGCCAGCAGCCGCGGUAAUACGUAGGUGGCAAGCGUUGUCCGGAUUUAUUGGGCGUAAAGCGAGCGCAGGCGGUUUCUUAAGUCUGAUGUGAAGCCCCCGGCUCAACCGGGGAGGGUCAUUGGAAACUGGGAGACUUGAGUGCAGAAGAGGAGAGUGGAAUUCCAUGUGUAGCGGUGAAAUGCGUAGAUAUAUGGAGGAACACCAGUGGCGAAGGCGGCUCUCUGGUCUGUAACUGACGCUGAGGCUC
rnacentral:rRNA from 1 species